CCUACGGGAGGCAGCAGUGGGGAAUAUUGCGCAAUGGAGGCAACCCUGAUGCAGCGACGCCGCGUGAGUGAAGAAGGAUUUCGGUAUGUAAAGCUCUAUCAGCAGGGAAGAAAAUGACGAUACCUGACCAAGAAUCACCGUCUAACUACGUGCCAGCAGCCGCGGUAAUACGUAGGGGGCGAGCGUUAUCCGGAUUUACUGGGUGUAAAGGGAGCGUAGACGGUUAUGUAAGUCUGGAGUGAAAGCCCGGGGCCCAACCCCGGGACUGCUGUGGAAACUGUGUAACUGGAGUACAGGAGGGGCAGGUGGAAUUCCUGGUGUAGCGGUGAAAUGCGUAGAUAUCAGGAGGAACACCGGCGGCGAAGGCGGCCUGCUGGACUGAAACUGACGUUGAGGCACGAAAGCGUGGGGAGCAAACAGGAUUAGAUACCCGGGUAGUC
rnacentral:rRNA from 1 species